AUCGAUGAAGAACGCAGCGAAAUGCGAUAAGUAAUGUGAAUUGCAGAAUUCAGUGAAUCAUCGAAUCUUUGAACGCACCUUGCGCCCUCUGGUAUUCCGGAGGGCAUGCCUGUUUGAGUGUCAUUAAAUUCUCAACUUCAAAAGUUUUUAUUAACUUAUUGAGGCUUGGAUGUGGGGGUUUGUUGGCGUCUUUAGAUGUUCAGCUCCCCUUAAAUGCAUUAGUGGAAUUCCCGUUUGGUUGGUCCAUCUUGGUGUGAUAAUUAUCUACGCUUUGCUUGGUUCAACUGUGUCAGGUGUGCUUAGGCUAGAUCCUGGUUGUGAUAUUGCAUUAAGUUGCUUUAUCUGAUUGUGGGAAAUUUAUCUGCUUUCUAACCGUCUGUUGUUUCAGACAAUUUAUUGACUAUUUGACCUCAAAUCAGGUAGGACUACCCGCUGAACUUAAGCAUAUCAAUAAGCGGAGGAAAAGAAACUAACAAGGAUUCCCCUAGUAACUGCGAGUGAAGAGGGAAAAGCUCAAAUUUAAAAUCUGGCAGUCUUUGAUUGUCCGAGUUGUAAUUUAGAGAAGUGUUACCCGUGUUGGCCCGUGUACAAGUUUCCUGGAAUGGAACGUCAUAGAGGGUGAGAAUCCCGUCUUUGACACGGACUACCAAUGCAUUGUGGUAUGCUCUCGAAGAGUCGAGUUGUUUGGGAAUGCAGCUCUAAAUGGGUGGUAAAUUCCAUCUAAAGCUAAAUAUUGGGGAGAGACCGAUAGCGAACAAGUACCGUGAGGGAAAGAUGAAAAGAACUUUGGAAAGAGAGUUAAACAGUACGUGAAAUUGCUGAAAGGGAAACGCUUGAAGUCAGUCGCGUUAGUCGGGGAUCAGCCUUCCUUUUGGUUGGUGUACUUCCUGAUUGACGGGUCAGCAUCAGUUUUGACCGGUGGAUAAGAGCUUGAGGAAUGUGGCAUCUUCGGGUGUGUUAUAGCCUCUUGUUGUAUACAUCGGUUGGGACUGAGGAACUCAGCACGCCGCAAGGCCGGGUUUUUAACCACGUACGUGCUUAGGAUGCUGGCAUAAUGGCUUUAAUCGACCCGUCUUGAAACACGG
rnacentral:rRNA from 1 species